GAAUAUUUAUCAUUCAAUAGAAAAUGAUAGAAAGUACACCAAUGAGUAAUCACUACAGGGCAACGGGAUCAUAACUAGGGCUGGGCACAGGUCGGGCCGGGCCCAAAUUUGAAGGAACCGGCGCUACCCGUUUUAAAAUGUAAUGGGCAGUUCAGGACGGGUCCACGGGUCCAAUUACAUUUUAUUUCUCAUUUUUUUUUGGGUUUGACAUUGGGCUGCUUUUUAUAUUACCAACAACACACAUUUACAUUUACAAUAGAGAGGCCCACAUACAAUACAAACACAACAACAAAAGUAUGGAUCUCUGAAGAACAACUACACCAAGCCCAAUAGAAAAAACCCUAACAACCUGCAUCCUCUGCCGCUGCUGCCAUCAGAAGGACCCCCAAACUCGAACUAGUAGCCUGAAAUCAAGCCAAAUCGAGCCCCCAAAGUGGAUAAAAAGAAGACUUCAACAAGUCCUACAAGAUCCUUCACAACAUGAUUUUCCAAAGCGAAACUAAUAUCAAAACCAAAACCAAUUAAAUCCAGAAAAUUUAGAAAUUAUAUCCCUAAAUUCAGUAACCCAAAAAUUUCAAAAAUCCUAAUUCCAAAGUCCUAAAUCCUUGAACUCAGAAAUUCAAAUAAUUCAAAAACCCUAAUUUAGAAAUUACCUUAAUUUGAGAGAAGAUGACAUGAUAUUUCGAAUCGCAUGAUGCUGGUGGUGUUUUCGACAGCGGUGAUGGGUGGUCACGUUUGGGAGAAGAGUCAAGAGACGAUGGCGAUGGUGGUGUUCACAAGAGGACUCAACUUGAGUGAGAGAGGGGACUGAGAAUCAAGAGGGAGGACUCGGGAGGACUCGGGAGAGUCUUCGAGAAAGAUGUGAUGUGUGUAAGAUUUGAGUGUGUGUGUGUGUGUGUAAGAUUUGAGUGUGUGUGUGUGAUUUGAGUGUGUGUGCGUGAGGUUUAUUGCAUACGGUUCGGGCCAAAGGCCCAUGACUUAAGAAAAUUG
rnacentral:lncRNA from 1 species